GAUGAACGCUGGCGGCGUGCUUAACACAUGCAAGUCGAACGGUGAAAGAGGAGCUUGCUCCUCUGGAUCAGUGGCGAACGGGUGAGUAACACGUGAGUAACCUGCCCUUGACUCUGGGAUAAGCACUGGAAACGGUGUCUAAUACCGGAUACGAGCUUCAGCCGCAUGGCUAGGAGCUGGAAAGAAUUUCGGCAAGGAUG
rnacentral:rRNA from 1 species